AUGCAGCAGGGCGAUGGCACGGAGGCGCAGGUGACGUGGGAUGACCAGCAGAACAUCAACCGGUUCGGCCGCCUCAACAACCGCCUCCACGAGCUCGCCGACGAGAUCAGGCUCGCCAAGGAAGCAAAUGAAAACCUCGAGGAUGCUGGGAAUGAACUCAUCUUGUCUGAUGAAGAUGUGGUGCGAUUCCAAAUCGGGGAAGUGUUUGCCCACAUGCCAGUGGACGAUGUGGAAGCUAGGCUAGAGCAGAUGAAAGAGGACGCAGCUAAGAAGCUGGAGAAGCUGGAGGAAGAGAAGGAAUCCAUCCUUGCCCAGAUGGCCGAACUGAAGAAGAUCCUGAAAGCGAAAUUUGGAGAUGCCAUCAACCUGGAGGAAGAUUGA
rnacentral:rRNA from 1 species